rnacentral:Y_RNA from 1 species
GGCUUGCCCGAAGGUAGUGAGUUAUAUCACUUGAUUGUUCACAGUCAGUUACAGAUUCAACUCUUUGUUCUACCAGUUUUCCUCCUCUCACUACUGCACUUGACUGGUCUUUA